GAGCACAGGUUCACCCCACCUGUCCCAGGUUCCUCCCUGCUGGAGUCCCACUGCCAGGUGCCAGUGAUUCCCGAGGGGAACAGCUUGGGCUUAACCUGCAGUGCAGGUUGGUGGAAAUUCCCAGAAACCUAAGAAGGACAUCAACCCUCAACUUGUAAUCGAUUUGGCUUCUGCCUCUCCUGUGGCUUCACCAGACUUUUAAUGCACCAAAACUUGCCUGGGGCGACUCCUUCCCUGUCUCCAGAGAUUCCAUCCAGCCUUGUCUGAUGCCGAGGCACAGACAGGCAGAGCCUGGAAGCCAACCAAGUGAUUGCACCUUCCCAGGUUACGGAGUGUGCAGCAGCAUCCCUGCCUCCUGCACAUCCAUGUCCACAGAGGUGAUUCCACCCACCUCCACUGCCUAAGCCAUGGAGAGAUGGCCCAUCCCAGACUCUCACCCUUGGAUUUAGCUCCUCUGGCCUCCUGGCAGGACUCCUUGGAU